rnacentral:rRNA from 1 species
GCAGGCGCGAAACCUUUACACUGCACGACAGUGCGAUAAGGGGACUCCGAGUGCGAGGGCAUACAGUCCUCGCUUUUCUGUACUGUAGGGAAGUACAGGAACAAGUGCUGGGCAAGACCGGUGCCAGCCGCCGCGGUAAUACCGGCAGCACGAGUGAUGGCCGCUCUUAUUGGGCCUAAAGCGUCCGUAGCCAGCCGAGCAAGUCCGUCGGGAAAUCUGCCCGCUUAACGGGCAGGCGUCCGGCGGAAACUGUUCGGCUUGGGGCCGAGAGAUCCAAGGGGUACGUCCGGGGUAGGAGUGAAAUCCCGUAACCCUGGACGGACCACCGGUGGCGAAAGCGCCUUGGAAAAACGGACCCGACGGUGAGGGACGAAAGCUAGGGUCUCGAACCGGAUUAGAUACCCGGGUAGUCCUAGCCGUAAACGAUGCUCGCUAGGUGUGGCGUAGGCUACGAGCCUGCGCUGUGCCGUAGGGAAGCCGUGAAGCGAGCCGCCUGGGAAGUACGUCCGCAAGGAUGAAACUUAAAGGAAUUGGCGGGGGAGCACUACAACCGGAGGAGCCUGCGGUUUAAUUGGAGUCAACGCCGG